rnacentral:lncRNA from 1 species
UUACAAUUUGUACAUAAAUGCCCAGGAAAAGUUGGAAGGUGCUACAUUAAGGUGUUAAGAGUCGCCAUGGGGGUGGCUGAUGUGAGAAUUUAAGGUGUUUUCUCUUUAGGAUAAAAUAUCCUACCGCCCAAAGAAUAGGCCGGUCGCGGUGGCUCACGCCUGUAAUCCCAGCACUUUGGGAGGCUGAGGCGGGCGGAUCACCUGAGGCCAGGAGUUCUUGUCACCCAGGCUGGAGUGCAAAUGGUGCAGUCUUGGCUCACUGCAACCUCUGCCUCCAGGUUCAAGUGAUUCUCCUGCCUCAGCCUCCUGAGUAGCUGGGAUUACAGGUGCAUGCCACCACUACCGGCUAAUUUUUGAAUUUUAGUAGAGACAGGGUUUCACCAUGUUGGCCAGGCUGGUCUUGAACUCCUGACCUCAGGUGAUCCGCCUGCCUCGGCCUCCCAAACUGCUGGGAUUACAGGCGUGAGCCACCGUGCCUGGCUGCUAGUCAUGGUUUUAAGACUGGAGUUAUUAUACUGAAGAAGACAGAGAAGGAAUUUUCUUGAGAUGAUAUUGGGCAAGGGAACUAAAAAACAAGUAAUGAUCAAAUAAACAAGAUGAUGUCAGGAAAUAAUAAACCCUGGGAAGAAACAACAGAGGGUGGAGGGUGGAGGAUGGAGGAUGGGGUGGGGUGGGGUGGGGUGUGAACUGUUGAGAGAACCGGGAAAGAUGGAGAAGUCAAAAGAAAUAAAUGUGGAUGUGGAACAUGCAGGCCACUGGCAAACUUGAGGGCAUUUUCAGGGGCAUUCAAAAGCUGGAUGAGAAAACCAAAGGUACAGUGAAGUUAACCUGCCCAAUUAGUAAGCGACGGGGCAUGCUCCAGCUGCCUCCAAGGCUGAGAUCCUGGGGACCUGAAAACAGAGGGCAGAGCUGAGAUCUUUGGGACGCUGAGCUGUAGGGGACUUGUAAGAGGGUGGAGUCUUUCAGGGGACGAGCUGCAUUUGAGCAGUGAAUGGGCAGGUGUAGAGGAGUCUUUCAGGGGACGAGCUGCAUUUGAGCAGUGAAUGGGCAGGUGCAGGGGAGUCUUUCGGGAGAUGAACUGCGUUUGAGCAGUGAAUGGGCAGGUGUGGAGGGCCUGGGACUCCAGGGAGAUGAUCGCAGAGGCACUGCCCCCCUGGGGGCCCUGCUGUAGGGGGUGGUGGCCUAGAACCCGAGUCGCUGGAGAAUCAGGGAGGCCCAGACAUAGCCCCUUACAGAGUGGGCCUGAGGCCUUGCCCUGGUCUGUCCCACCUUUGCAUUGGCUAGACAAUAGUUGGAUACGUGGAGGAGUCACGGCCCAGCCUCACUGUGAGGCCAGCCCCUGCUAGAGUGGGUGAGAGAUUCUGCAGGCCUAGGCUGUGGCAGCCCCUGCUAGAGUGGGUGAGAGCUUCUGCAGGUCUAGGCUGGGCCAGCCCCUGCUAGAGCGGGUGAGAGAUUCUGCAGGCCUAGGCUGGGCCAGCCCCUGCUAGAGCGGGUAAGAGAUGAUUCUGGAGACCCCCAAGAGGCCUCCUGAGCGGAGCUGGUGGGUUCCUUUUCCUUCUCCGGCAGGACGUUAGAGCAGCAUUGAUCCACGUUUCAAAACCCAGGCUCCCUUUUGAUACACGUAGAACCCUUCCACACCCUUUUUUUCAUAUGUGACUUGAAGUUUCAAAACAAUAUUGUGUGUUUGAAAAAAGCGGGCGUGACGUUGAACAGCCCGUCUUUGGGCCCUGCGGGUUCUGACUGCCCCCACAGCCCCUCAGAGGUGAAGGUGCAACCGGUGGUGGCCAUGGCGAGCCAUCGGCGGAAACGAGCUCGUGAGGGACUCGCCUGGCCUCUGGGCUUGACAUCCUGAAUCUCAUUACCAAGGUGGAGCUGGUCCAGGAGCUGCUCCUGGCUGUGUCCUCCAGCCCCGUGAGGACAGUUCCUCUGUCCCUCCCACACCGAUGUGCAUUCCCUCUGCCCGUUCAUGUCUGCAGCUCCUCUGUCCCUCCCACACUGAUGUGCAUUCCCUCUGUCCAUCCAUUUCUGCAGCUCCUCUGUCCCUCCCACACUGAUGUGCAUUCCCUCUGUCCAUCCAUUUCUGCAGCUCCUCUGUCCCUCCCACACUGAUGUGCAUUCCCUCUGUCCAUCCAUUUCUGCAGCUCCUCUGUCCCUCCCACACUGAUGUGCAUUCCCUCUGUCCAUCCAUUUCUGCAGCUCCUCUGUCCCUCCCACACCGAUGUGCAUUCCCUCUGCCCGUUCAUGUCUGCAGCUCCUCUGUCCCUCCCACACUGAUGUGCAUUCCCUCUGUCCAUCCAUUUCUGCAGCUCCUCUGUCCCUCCCACACUGAUGUGUAUUCCCUCUGCCCGUCCAUUUCUGCAGCUCCUCUGUCCCUCCCACACUGAAGUGCAUUCCCUCUGCCCGUCCAUUUCUGCAGCUCGGCACGAGUGCAGAAAUGAUCCGAAGCCCCGUCCAAGUCAUGAUUUCUUAUUAUGUGCUCUGUGAAUGUUAAUAGUCAACAGCUGAUGCUGUUGCCUUUUUUAACCCUCCUCUCCACUCGGGACGCAGUGGUAACUGCAUGAGUGGGUGUGAGGUCUGACGGUGGAGAGAGGGUGUGAGGUCUGACGGUGGAGAGAGGGUGUGAGGCCUGACGGUGGAGAGAGAGGGUGCGAGGUCUGACGGUGGAGAGAGGGUGCGAGGUCUGACGGUGGAGAGAGGGAGUGAGGUCUGACGGUGGAGAGAGGGAGUGAGGUCUGACGGUGGAGAGAGGGUGUGAGGUCUAUAUUUAGAUACAGGAAUACUUUCCGCUGUGUCACAGUUGCCUGCAGCCUUCGGUACAGUAACCGUAUGUUUCUUUGUUGAAUCGCAUUAUUUCCAGGCAGCACCGCCGUCGGCUGUGUGAAGGCCAGAUCACGUGCUGUCGUGUUUGCCUGGACCCUCCCCUGGCAUUGGGCGUCUGUGUUGUUUCCAGUUCUUUGCUAUCAAACGUGACGCAGCUGUGAGUGCGCUCAUCCUGUGUGAUAAUAGUCCGUUUCUCUCUGUUUCCCACCCGGCUCUUCUAGCUGAAUAGUUUUGCAGCUGCCUCCCGCUGGGUCUGGGGUUGCCCAGUGCUGAGCCAGGCAUCCUGGGUUUGUGGCGAGCUGCUCAUCCAUGGUGAUACUGGGAUUAUUCCCAGACCCUCAUCCCAGCCGUGACAGCUUGGCCAGGCCCUGCUGCUGCUGGGCUUGCUUUCCUCUGAGCUCAUUUCCUUAUGUAUGUUAUAGUCCCGGGGCAGGUCCCUGCUGUUUUCAGCCUCCUUUCCCAGGUGGAAAAUCCCCUCAACAGCCUGAUUUUAGUGACUCUGCUCUGGUCCCCCACCUCCCAAGGGUCACUUUUAGUCCCUGAACCCUGGAAGACCAAUCUCCCAGCUGCCUCUGUCUGCUUCGGAGCCCAGAGCUCAGCAAGCGGCUGUGCCUUCACCCCUCAAAAUGGCAAAUACUUUGAAUUUAUGAUCCAUGGAGAUAUAGAUCUUGUUUUUGCGCACAUUUCCUUGCUGCUGUUGUUGUGAAAGUAUUUUCCUCUAUCACUUCCGUGUCUUUGGAACAGGAAAAGCUGCAGGCAGGGCCUCACAGUGUGUGCUAGCAUUCUGUCUUGCUGGAAGUCCCUGACUCCUCAUCCCCAGAUGGAGUUAAUAAUGUCUGCUCCACAGUUGCUGCGAGAAUUCAGUAAGACUGUUGAAGUGGGCAAAACCUCCAGCAUAGAUAUUCCAUAACUAUCAGAGGCCUCCCUUCCUCUUCAGCCAGAAAUCUCCCCUUUGAACCUGAGGUCCUUCUAAUCUUCAGGGGACCCCUUUGACAAUGCACAUGUCCAUGGAAGAGGAAAUUCCUUAAAACAUCGUCUGUGGGGAGACACUUUGUGGGAUGAAAAGAUGGUCACAGCUGAGCUGUGGGAGGGCAGAAGUGAGGGAUCUUUGAAGGAAAAGAAAGUGAAUGGAAGGAAAGACAAAUUUAGCAAGUUUAAUAAUUUAGUUGAGGGUUUCCCCAUCCCCCUCAUGAGUCACCCUCACACUCCGUAACAGUCUUGAGCUACCACCAGCCUGUCUUAAUCUCCAGAGGGCUCCAGUGCCCAGAAAAGUCCGAAAUAGCUUAGGAUGAAUUUUCUUAUCUUUCCUAAGGCAGAGAAUAUGAGGCUGUGCAUUACGCUAUUACUUUGCCCUUGAAUUUUUAGAGGCUGAUAAAACUUAGCCUCUAAAAGAUCAAGGAUAUUCCCUCUCUGCAGCACCAGGCAUAUGGUGCACGGUUAGCAGGAAUGGAUGGGGCUGGGAACAUGUUCAUGGUAUAUGAGCCUGGGUACCUGUGGGUACCAGAACCAUGUGCUGGAUUUUUCUGCCUGCUUGUGGGGUGUGGGAAGGCUGGCGUAAUUGGUUUCCUAAUGCCCUUUCUUCUUAGAAAAAUGUCUAAUCAUAAUGAAGAGAUAACUAACUAGAAAGGCCGUUUAAAAUGUCAGAUUUUAAGCUGGUUCUGAGUCUGUGAUGAAAAUUUGGAGUUAUGUCUCCCCGCAAAAGCCAAAUCCUAAUGGAAGAACUUGGGUUUUCUGAUGAAAACUCUUGGAGCAUUCUGCCCAAGGCCUCUUAUCUUCCUUUCCUUUCGUGCUUCACUUCCAUCAUCUCUGGCUGUAAUUGUAAGUAUUUUUUCUGGAGCGAGUUGAGUGCUGGUGAGAUGUUCCUGGGGCUGUCAGGGUGGUGUUGCUGCCUGUGUUAUGCCCUUUCACCAGGCGGCAGUGUGAGCCUCAGCCCAUCUGCUUUGGGAGCCUGCAGUCAAAUGCGUUUAUUCAUGUAGGCAGCUGACACAUUUAUUGAGCACCUCCUAUGUGCCAGGCAAAAUAGCUCUUCCAAUGGGAGAGGGAGACCACAAACCCAGUAAAUUCUGCAGUGUCACAGACGGUGAUCAAGUCCUUAGGGCAAAGGGAGAAGGGGUGCUGGGGACACUGGGGCAGUUGCUGGUUUAUAUGGGGAUAAGAGAGGGGCCCACCGACAAAAUGACUUUUGAAUGGAGAUCUGAAGCAUCUUCUGUGGCUAUGUGGAGGGAAAGCAU